rnacentral:rRNA from 1 species
AUACGUAGGUGACAAGCGUUAUCCGGAUUUACUGGGCGUAAAGGGCGUGUAGGCGGUCUUGCAAGUCAGAAGUGAAAUUCCUGAGCUCAACUCGGGCGCUGCUUCUGAAACUGCAGGACUUGAGUGCUGGAGGGGAUAGCGGAAUUCCUAGUGGAGCGGUAAAAUGCGGAGAUAUUAGGAAGAACACCGGUGGCGAAGGCGGCUAUCUGGACAGUAACUGACGCUGAUGCGCGAAAGCGUGGGGAGCAAACAGGAUUAGAUACCCUGGUAGUCCACGCCCUAAACGAUGAAUACUAGGUGUGGGGGGACUGACCCCUUCCGUGCCGGAGUAAACACAAUAAGUAUUCCACCUGGGGAGUAAGACCGCAAGGUUGAAACUCAAAUGAAUUGGCGGGG